rnacentral:rRNA from 1 species
UAAUACGUAGGGGGCUAGCGUUGUCCGGAAUCAUUGGGCGUAAAGCGCGUGUAGGCGGCUUAGUAAGUCUGCUCUGAAAGUCCGAGGCUCAACCUCGGGAUGCGGGUGGAUACUGCUGGGCUAGAGUGCGGAAGAGGCGAGUGGAAUUCCUGGUGUAGCGGUGAAAUGCGCAGAUAUCAGGAGGAACACCAAUUGCGAAGGCAGCUCGCUGGGACGUUACUGACGCUGAGACGCGAAAGCGUGGGGAGCAAACAGGAUUAGAUACCCUGGUAGUCCACGCCGUAAACGAUGGGCACUAGGUGUGGGGGGUGUCGACUCCCUCCGUGCCGAAGCUAACGCAUUAAGUGCCCCGCCUGGGGAGUACGGCCGCAAGGCUA